GAGAUGAUGCCUGGACUUUCAGUCCUAGAAUUCAGGUGAAGCCCAGCCUACUGUUCACCAAGGUGCUGAUAAUGGAGCCAGGUCCCAGGAAGGGAGCUCCCGACCCUUGGUGCUCACCCAGCCCAGAGCUGCAGGAAGAUGGUGAGAGACCAGGAGAGAGAAAGAGAUACACAGACAGGAGAGACACCACACACAGUAUAAUCCCCUGAUUGCGAAGCUUCCCCUUUCUUUGCAUGUUGCUCCUAUGUGGUGACGGGAGCUCAAGCCCAGGCCUUUGAGGAUGGCGAUGUACAUUCUACUGGGUGAGCGCUCCCAUCCUAUCACCAGUGGCAAAACCAGGUUAUGGAGUAAGAAGGGAACUCUUGAUAAUACAGUCUGGCUGCUGGAGCCAGCCGUACCUGAUGGUACUCGCCUUCUGUGGUUUCUUUUCUUCAUUGUGCUCAGCUUUGUGUAUGAGUCCUGGACACAGAGGCAGGGUUUGGGAUAAGUUAUCUUAGUGCCAAUGUUCCUUUCUACUUUGGCCGCUCAAGUUGGGAAUCUGCAAGUAUUUGCAAACCAGUCACUUAGUGUUUGGGUCUAACCUGGAGUAAGAACCCAGUCCCAGCUAACAGCAUACAGCUGGGGACAUGGGUGAUGUGAGAAUGGGGGACCUUCUUCAAGAAUGAAUUUGGAAAUAGACUCCUUUAAAGUAGCCCCAUGGUUUUUCUUUUUCUGUUCUGUUCUGUUCUGUUCUGUUCUGUUCUGUUUUUUUUUUUUUUUUUUGUUUGUUUGUUUUUUUUUGCCUGCUGGGGCUUGGUACCUGCACUAUGAAUCCACUGCUCCUGGAGGCCAUUUUCCCCAUUUUGUUGCCCUUAUUAUUGUUGUUACCGUUGUUAUUGUUGGAUAGGACAGAGAGAAAUCAAGAGAGGAGGGGAGACAGAGGGAAAGAGAAAGACAGACACAUGCAGACCUGCUUCACUGCCCAUAAAGCGACCCCCUCCUGCAGGUGGGGGUUCUGGGGCUUGAACCAGGAUCCUUACGCCUGUCCUUGUGCUUUGUGCCACGUGCGCUUAACAUACUGCACUAUUGCCUGACUCCCUUUCUUUUCUGUUAUUCUUAUUUAUUUAUUUAUUUGUUUGUUUGUUUAAUCAGAGCACUACUCAGCUCUGGCUUAUGGUGGUGCUAGGGACUGAAUCUGGGAUCCUGGGGCCUCAAGCAUAACCAUCCUGCCAUCCCUUCAGCCCAGUGUAUUUUGUAGUUGUUAAAUUGAGAGAGAGAGAGAGAGAGAGA